GGACGAACGCUGGCGGCACGCUUAACACAUGCAAGUCGAACGGAGUUAUUGAAGCUUGCUUUAGAUAACUUAGUGGCGGACGGGUGAGUAACACGUGAGCAACCUGCCUUUAAGAGUGGAAUAGCUUCUGGAAACGGAUGGUAAUACCGCAUAACAUUACGGGACCGCAUGAUUCUGUAAUCAAAGAUUUAUCGCUUAAAGAUGGGCUCGCGUCUGAUUAGAUAGUUGGUGGGGUAACGGCCUACCAAGUCGACGAUCAGUAGCCGGACUGAGAGGUUGAACGGCCACAUUGGGACUGAGACACGGCCCAGACUCCUACGGGAGGCAGCAGUGGGGAAUAUUGCACAAUGGGCGGAAGCCUGAAUGCAGCGAUGCCGCGUGGAGGAAGAAGGUUUUCGGAUUGUAAACUCCUUUUAUCAGGGACGAUAAUGACGGUACCUGAAGAAAAAGCUCCGGCUAACUACGUGCCAGCAGCAGC
rnacentral:rRNA from 1 species